ACAGACUGAACUACGAACUGCAAAUACACUAAUUGGUACAUCACUUAUAAUUGUAUAAAGGUAAGUGAAGAGAAACACCCAAUCAUAAAUAAGCACAAGACCACAAGGACUUUGCUGCUGCAAGAUGAAGUGUGUAAAUAACCACAUGAUUUGUGUGAGAAUUUGUAUAUGUACUACUAGUGCAGCCUUACAGGAUUGUUGUUAUAGCCAUGUUGAUGAACAGAUCAAAUUGCAAAAUGUACAUGUGAGUAGAAUGUGUAAAAGCGUAUCAAAAGGUUUAUUCUGAGUGGCAGGCAUAUCAUCUUGCAAUGCAAAUGGCAAUGGUAAUGCAGCAUAUCAAAUGCUUAACGAAUUGUGAUAUUUGGCUUCCACCAUUGCCCAGUUUGGAUGGAACUCAGCGAUCUAAUGACAGGAUUGUUUUUAGGGAAUUUGUGUAUGUAACAAGAACAAGAACAUUCAGCAUACUUAAAUCAGACAGUAAACUUGGGGCACACCAGACUCACCGACAACUCCAUGUUUCACUCCCAGAGGCUCUAGAAGGAUCAAACGCGUCGACAGUACACUUGAUACUGCUACUGCUACUAGAGUGGUGGAAGGUCGAUGAUGUAGGCGAGCAUGCCGCCAUAGACGUUCAGCAGGAACUAAGACCACGACGAAGCCCCCGUUGUAAGCCAGCAACGGCAUGCCCUCCGCUUCGUGUAUGACCUAGCGCCGAUGUCCUGGUUGCCGCCGCCGCGCGAACGCCACAUGGCUACUGCUGCCGCGGCUGCUCGAACUCGGUGGAGAGGAGAGGAACCUGCGCUAAAGACGUGAGAAAUUGAACCCUAAUCUGAACAGAAAUGCGAGAUGCGUUGCACAUUAUUACCUGGAAGCUUGGUGGAAGAGGGGAA
rnacentral:lncRNA from 1 species